GGAGCCAAACCCUAACUCAACAAUAUUCAUCAAAUUGAAGGGCGAAUCGAAGCUCAAAUUCACAACCGAACAUGAAUUAGUGAUCACCAACACAAGGGGAUCAUAAGCAUAGGGAUCAUGUGGAAAUGGACUCAAGCAAGAAAGGCAAACGGGUCAAAAGGAGGCAAGGGAACGGACGCAAAAAGGUUGUACGAAUCACAGAUUGUCAUCAAGAGGAGUAGCGAUCAAGUCAAGAGCAAGGAUUGUACGGAAAGUGCGGUCACAUAGUUAGGUUAUGUAUUGCCUUGAAGUCUUAAAAUUGAGUACGAAUGUUGCGAUUACUUUUUAUGAAACGUUUGACAAUUUGUAACUUGAACCGUCAUGUAAGUAAUGUCGUUACCAAAGAAAUAAAUUUUAAGGUUCGUAA